rnacentral:lncRNA from 1 species
UUUUUUUUUUUUUUUUUUAAUGUAUUUUUACCAUUUCUAGGGCUGCUCAUGCGGUAUAUGGAGGCUCCCCGGCUAGGGGUCUAAUCAGAGCUGUAGCCACCGGCCUACGCCACAGCCACGUCUGCGACCUACACCGUAGCUCACGGCAACGCUGGAUCCUUAACCCACUGGGCGAGGCUGGGAUCAAACCCGCAACCUCUUGGUUCCUAGUCGGAUUUGUUAACCACUGAGCCACGGCGGGAACUCCCAGUGACGGGCCUUUUUCAAGGUGAUCUGCAUAGCUUCCUGACCUCCUGGGAGAGGUAGUCCUGUUUCUGUGGCCACAAACUCUGCCUUGCCAUUAAGAGCCCUCAGCCUCGUCCCAGGACACCGAUCCCUCCUGGGAGCUCUUCCGGAUGUCUGGCAGAUGUUGGGGGACACAGACAAAGUGGAGUGGAGCGAGGUGUCCUGGUCGAGAGCUCAAGAAGGCGGUUCCUAUCAUUCAGUGCAUCACUUAUGCACCCAUUCAUUCGUUCCACACAUGCAAAUUGUGUCCCUGUGAUGUACAUAGGACACUAGGGAUGUGAACAGGGAGCUUAAGAGUCUAGAGUCUCAAAAUCUGGUGCUGGAAUCAGCAGUAUUACCUGGGAGCUUGUUAGAAACGCCAGUUUUCAUGCCCCACCCCCUACCUGAGUCAGAAGCUCAGGGAGGGGGCCCCCGAAGUCUGUGUCUUAGCUACAUCCCCCACGAUGAUGCCGAUGUGUGCCAAGGUGUGAGAACUGAUCUCAAGGGCACGUACAAUAACGACAUGUGGAGAUGAUAGCAGCUAGGGACGACGUACUUGAUAACUUUGGAGCUCUGACCCAGGACUUCGUGGUGAUGCCCUUCGCACUGCCAUCCUGUCUUGACGUCUGUUCUCUCGUUGCCCCAGACUGAGCAGCUCUAUGGAAUGUAUCUAGCCAGUGACCUAUGGCCCAGCUCGGCCUGGGACAUUUGUCUUAUUGGAAGCCCUGGGACGCCCUCAGGGACCUAGGAUGGGGGCAGUUGACAGGAAAGAAGUCAGCUGGGCCUGAAGAUAGUGAGUAUGUUGUAGGCUGUGUCUCUCCUACAGAAGUGGAGGGUGUCUGUGGGUCAAUCAAAAUUUGCAGGAACCAGUGAUUCAAUCUGGACAGCAUCAAACACUGAGCAGGGAGUGUGGGAAGUACUGGGGGCGAGUGUUCACAAAUUUUAGAAGCAAAAGAAGCAGUACAGGGAGGUUAUCGAUUUUCAGACUGCCAGGCCACAGCCCAGAUGAUUCCGUGGCAGGUCUGGGGAGGCCCCGAAUCAGGGUGUCUCACAAGCCUCAGGGUAAUCUCAGGGCAGGCGGUUGGGGGAACACCCUUUGAGGAACACUGUGUCGUGAGAUGUGUUCACUGGGGCCGGCUCGAAGCUCCAGCCACGUGCCCAGGCUUCGAACCCCACCACCCCUGGCUUCUGUCAACCGGGAGACAGGUCUGGGAUUUGGUGCAGGUUUCUCCUAAGAGAAUGAGUAUCUGCUCUCAUGGGAUGGGUGAUGGCAGGAAUGAAAACAGCUUUAGCCUGACUGGGGAGUGGCUAAUGGCACCAUAAACAACAGAGGAAUAAUGAAGCCAUUCUCAUUGUCUAAAAGUUGCUUUGCAAUCUAAUUAGAAUAUGAAAAUUGAGAUCUCAGGCUAUUUUUAAACAAAGCAUGAGGUCAGCAGGAAUAAUCAAUCCUAGAGCUGUGCACUUCCCACCAGCCUUCACCAGGGUGAGUCAUGUGCUUCCUUCGGAAAGAGUCCUCGAUGAUGGGACCAGUGGAUGGAGGCAAAGGGGACCAGACUUAGAAACAGACAGGGUUCCAGGAUGUGGGGACCAGUUAGGGGAAAAAAUGGUCAUGAAAUCUCUGGACCCGCUUAAAAGUCCUAUCUGGCCCUUCAAGGGGAAGAGUGUAUGGCUGCCUGGAGGAUGGUGUGUGGCCUUCUCUGUUAGACUAGAGGCAGCAAAACACGCUCUAUGUGGACUUGUCCAGGGGAGAGAGCUGUGGGGCAUGGCUUAGUGGAAAAGAGAAUGAAAUUUUGGAGCCAGAUCUGACACUGAAGCUCAGCCCGGCUCACUUACUCAUCAUGUGAUUGGAUACCUCUUGCAACCUUGCUAAGCUUCAGUUUCCCUGCCUGUAAAAUGGUGAUAAUAAGACUGACUUUAAGGCAGUGAAAUGAAAUUAUAAUAGCAGUCACAGCCAACAUGGGUACACUUCAUGGGCACACCUUAUUUCCAUUGGUCUCUACAAUCACCCUAUGACAUUCAGGGAAGAGCAGGGCUUUGCCUUAUUAAAUGCAAAUAAAGCAUUCAGGAUAGUGUCCGGUACAAGAAUAGAUGCUCAAUUAAAAUUUGUUCCCUUCCUGGGGCAGGGUGUCAGACGAUAAGGAGACUCCUUUCCCCAGAACCGAGAGCUCCAAGCAGCUGUACUUCCCUAGCAGACAGUGAUAGCUGAAGAUUUAAGUCUCCUGAGCCAGAGCCAGGCUUCCAGAACCCCUGGUGGGAUAUUUCUGAUCCUGCGGCUGACACUUGCCGAACAGGCAGAUGCAAUAGGGCCUGCGUGAGCCAGGGUGCAAAGAACCCAGAGACACUCAUGUGACCACUGUGGGGCUCCCUUCCCGGGAACAUCCCACCCAGAUGUGCCUUCCUUGAAGAAAAGUAGUGCAAAAGCCCAUUUUUCACUUUUAAAUAGCUUUCAUUCUAUGUCUUAAUAAAUGCACGUUUGUUGAUUUGUGUAAGCAUGAUGUGGGAAGUCUGCAAAUGGAUGUAAUCUGCAUCGAGGGCGCAUGUAAGCACCAGUGAGCACUUUUGAAUAAUGAAUCCCUCCCGUAAAAGACGGACGCUAUUCAUAAUAAUUCCUUGCUUUUCUCAUUUUGCCGCGUACAGUAGCGAUUAAUCAAUUUGCAAUGUUAUGUCACCCGCAACAAAUUGCUAGCACCAAGACAAAUUUAUUGCUUUAUGAUAAAAGAACUUGUUUAGGUAGAAAUAAAUUAAAUUUGGGGGGCUGUUCUUUGGGUUUGAUGUUCACGGAGGUGACCCAUGGGAGUGGGCUGGGGGUGGGGUGGGGUGCGAGGUCUAGGUGAUUCCUGCAAAGGACUUGGCAUCCUAGGGACAGUACAGAAGCAAGAGGGCACUUACUUGCUCAGUUACUGUCCCCAAGAUGGGCGGCUCUGAUGGGAGAUGGUAUCAUUGAGAGCUCCUGGUAGCUCUUGGGAGCGUGUACCAGGCUCUCCGUAUCAGGAAGGGUAAUUUAGAGCUUUGUACGGAGAGGUCUGGACAAUCAGCCAGGCUCCAGGGAAACACGCCCUGUUCCCCUUCUCUCUUUGACUUCAAACUGGCAGAACAAAACCUCUUUUAGCAAAGCAAACCUUUGUUAUAGGAACUGGGAAUAAGAUUCAGAGAUCAGCGUGAGACAGAGGCCCUGAUGCUGCCAAUUCAUCAAGGCUGCUGAGUAUUAAAAUAUGGGGGGGGGGGGGGAAAGGCCAAAAUGAUGCUACCAAAAUUGCAGGGUAGUAAAUGUUAUAUUCAGCAAAAUGAAUGCUUUGAGCGUGUUAUGAAAAUGGACACUGUCAAGUCCUUCGUGUAUAAAGGCUGGGCUGGAUGGGUUACCACCGUGGCAAGGGUGACCUGGGGACACACAGUUCCCUUCUCCCUGUCACAUUCGUAGCAAAGAGGCUCAGGGAUGGGAAGUGUUUUGCCCGAGGAUAGAGUGGUGGAUGAGUUGGGGAGGGGGGAUGCAUGUGGAGAAGCAUCUGACUCUCAGGACAUCACGCACGUUUGUCAUUAAUUUAUACUCCAUUAAUUUGGAAUCUGGAGCGGAAUCGGGAGUGGAUGCAUCAAUUCUGACCCCUCCCCCAACACACACACACACACAUACACACACACACACACGCAUGCACAUAUUUGGGACAGGGAUUUUUCUUAAGCAAUCUAAGAGCCUAAUGUGAUUCGUGAAAAGCAGGUUUCAAUUAUGAAACCCAUGUAAAUGGGUGUCCUUGUCCUAGCAGCAGAGCAAAAUCCAUUCUUUUUGCUCUUAAAGCAAGUGCUGGGACCACUUCCUGGAAUACCUUGAUCCACAGGGUCACUUGCCAGGGAAAGCGCCCCAGUGACCUUCUUGGGCCUUGGUCUUGUCAUCCUCAUCUCAUUUCAGCCUUGGCAGGGUGGCGGGGGCGGGGGGGGGGGAUGCCCGGAGGCCUGCUUGCAGAAGCUUCUGCAGCCUUUCUGCAGUAUCUGUGCAGCCUCUUGGCUACCCCCCAACCCUGAUGCCCACAUCCAAAACCCUGUGAACAAUGCACAGGCAGCACAGAACUCCAGUCCUUCUCCGGGACCCCUUCCACUACCUUGUGGCUAAAAGGGGCCUGAAGGGAUGCGCGGCAGCCCUGGGGGUGGUGGACUCACCUGAUGACGGCUCCUUUGUCUUCCGCUGCACCUGCUGGCUGGGCUCCAGGUGGCCCAGGUCCCGUCUCAGGCAGCCAGCAUCCAUCCUGUGUGCCUAGCCAAGCCUGCCCACUCCCUGGACGCCUCCUGAGCCCAGGGUCCUGCAGGGACUCCCAGCUCUCUGUGGGGCUGGGUUGCCCCUGCUCCCACUGCCUGCCCGCUGGCUAAUUCUGAUUAUUUCUUUUUCUCCUUGCUCUCUUGGGCGCCUUUCUUCCUGACCGUGCAUUUUCUCUGGGCUCGGG